UCCCAGUCCCCGGGUGCUGGCGACAAAAGGCUGCGAUUCCUUAGAUACAGACCCGCGCCAAGGACCCAACUUCUCAAGAGAGGUGUUUCAGCUGCGUGGCUGGGAAACCGAGAGUCACAAAACUGAGGUGCCACUCAGCCAAGUCCGCUCCAAAGCCCCACGGGUCGGUCACCGCCUCCGACAGGGAAGGAAAUGUGUGAGAGAAAACCAUAGCCCAGGAAAGGAGAACUGUUGUCAGUCUUCAAGGAUGCAAAGUCUAGGGCAAGAAGGACAUGUGUCCCUGACACACUGGCAAAAGCAGCUACAAUACAACGGUAGGAAAAAGGGAUGCUGAAGCAACAUAAGACUAAAGAGCUCAACUUCUACUACAGACAAGCUCAGAUACAUGCCACGUUGCUGCGCGUCAAGUCUGGACAUGGGCCUCUGACGGAAUACAUUGUGCUCUGGGAUUAUAGAGUGCCAAGCCCUUUCCGGUUUUCCUCUAACAGCACAGCCACGGGGGAACUAGUAAAAUUAGCAGCCCAAAGAAGCAAUUUGCUUGGGUCUUUUUCCAUUUUUUUCUCUUGCAAUUGAUACCACUCUUCGUGUUUUUCCUCUUGGUCCUCAUCUUCAUCAGAAUCGCCUACCCAGAGACUCUGAGUACCAGUGGGAAUCAGGUGUCCAUCGGUCUCCAACAAUUCAAGCUGAUUAAACUGUUCAGAAAAGUCCAAAGAGUUUUCUGGGUCUGGUUUUUCAUCAUCCCUUACUUUUUCUUUUUCCAUUUUUGCUACUAUUCUAAAUAAAAAGCAUUUCAAGCA